GACGAACCGUGCGAACGUUAUUCGGAAUCACUGGGCUUAAAGCGCGUGUAGGCGGGGCGGCACGUCGGUCGCUGAAAGCCCCCGGCUCAACCGGGGAACGGGCGCCGAUACGACCGCCCUGGAGGGACGUAGGGGGCCUGGAACUUCCGGUGGAGCGGUGAAAUGCGUUGAGAUCGGAAGGAACGCCCGUGGCGAAAGCGAGGCCCUGGACGUCUGCUGACGCUGAGACGCGAAAGCCAGGGGAGCGAACGGG
rnacentral:rRNA from 1 species